GAUGAAGAACGCAGCAAAAUGCGAUAAGUAAUGUGAAUUGCAGAAUUCAGUGAAUCAUCGAAUCUUUGAACGCACAUUGCGCCCGCCAGUAUUCUGGCGGGCAUGCCUGUUCGAGCGUCAUUUCAACCCUCACGCCCUCGGGUUUGGUGUUGGGGAUCGGCGAGCCUUUCUGGCAAGCCGGCCCCGAAAUCUAGUGGCGGUCUCGCUGCAGCCUCCAUUGCGUAGUAGUAAAACCCUCGCAACUGGAACGCGGCGCGGCCAAGCCGUUAAACCCCCAACUUCUGAAUGUUGACCUCGGAUCAGGUAGGAAUACCCGCUGAACUUAAGCAUAUCAAUAAGCGGAGGA
rnacentral:misc_RNA from 1 species